CAUUUACAAUAGAACGAACUCUUGAUGCAUACGUCAAGGAAUUGUGAGUCUCAUCCAAGUUUGAUUCUGCUGGAGAGAUGUUUACAAACAUCAGGGUUUUAGCAUUUCCACCUAACGAGUCGCUCAUCAACAUGGUUAGCUUGUGAUUUCGAUAAGGAAUGUGUUGAUUUCCUGAAGAUAAUGCACUUAUAACAUCACCAAGUGCUGACAGGGACUUGUUAAUGCUUUGAGCUUCUUUUAAUUGAUUGCCAGCUGAGCCAGACUUUUUAACUCUUUCUGAGCCAGCAAGAUCCACAAAACUCAGCUUCCCUCUGGCAAUCGCCUGAGUUUGAAGAUUGGUACUCUCGAUAAUAACUGAAACAAUAAGAUGAGAUCUUGAACUCUGCUCAUUCAUCAAGGUUCCAGUCGUAUGACGCUGUUCAGAUCCUCUUUGGAUUAUUGUCUUAAGCUCCUCGUACGUUGAAAUAGACACCACUGUCACAUUCUCCACAGAAACCAUGCCCUUUGCGUCCUUUUUUAUAUCCAAUUUCAAGCGCUUUGCUUGCUUUGGCAAUAAAAGAUCCACCAACGUAUCCUGAUACAACUCUACCAUGUACGCCUUUAAAGAGAAAGAGAACUUAUUACUGUCUUUUUUCAUAAUUCGAAAGAGUUCGGACAUAGCUCUUGGUGUCAG
rnacentral:misc_RNA from 1 species